rnacentral:tRNA from 2 species
GCCUGGGUGGCGGAAUUGGCAUACGCGCAGGACUUAAAAUCCUGUGGUCGCAUAGACCGUGAGGGUCCGAGUCCCUCCUCAGGCACAA